rnacentral:lncRNA from 1 species
CUAACUAUAGUCUUAUUAGGUGAAAGACUGGAUUCUAUUUAUCUUUUUAUGUAGAGCCAACUCAAAAGCUUGCAAGACUCAAGCACCUUUUCUGUUCUCUCUCGGGCUUUGAAAAACUGUUCCCAUUAUCAAUUCAGUAUACCCUUAAGGCAAAUUUGUCCAACCCGUGACCGUUUGGCCCAGGAUGGCUUUGAAUGCAGCCCAACACAAACUCGUAAUUUUUCUUAAAGCAUUACGAGAGUUUUUUGCGACAUUUUUAAGCUCAUCAGCUAUCAUUAGUGUUAGUGUAUUUUACGUGCGGCCCAAGACAAUUCUUCUUCUUCCAGUGUGGCCAAAGGAAGCCAAAAGAUUGGAUACCCCUGCUUUAAGGUGGAGUCUUGCUCUGUCACCCAGGCUGGAGUGCAAGGGCGCGAUCUCAGCUCACUGCAAGCUCCGCCUCCCAGGUUCACGCCAUUCUCCUGCCUCAGCCACCCGAGUAGCUGGGACUACAGGGGCCCACCACCACGCCUGGCUAAUUUUUUUGUAUUUUUAGUAGAGACAGGGUUUCACCGUGUUAGCCAGGAUGGUCUCGAUAUCCUGACCUUGUGAUCCACCUUCCUCGGCCUCCCAAAGUGCUGGGAUUACAGGCGUGAGCCACUGAGCCCGGACAAUUUUCUCUUUUCUAAAGUUAAAUAAACAAGUUAGUUUAUUUUAUAAAUCGUGUUGCCUCCUGAGAAUCCCAUCCUUAGCUCAAACCAUGUUCUUUUCACUUCCCAAUGAUGAAGGUAACGAGAGAGCAUUGAGUAUUCUCCCCUUUUCCAGGACCCCCUAUGUAAAAACUUGGUGUUCUGAGAAGGUUAAUUUGUCACUGAGAAGGGGUUCACCGACUAUUCUUUAAUUCAGCUUUUAACAAGAGAGUGUCAUUUUCAUGAAAACAAAAGCA